AUGCUCUCGAGCUGCUGCUUGCUGGCCGCCUCUGCCGCCCUCCUGUUGAGCUCCUUCUCGAUGGUCCUGAGCCCCAGUUCCUCCGUCUUGGCGAGCAGCUGCGCCUUGAGAGCCGAAUUCUCCUUCUCCAGAGAGGCCAGCCUGGAGUUGGCAUCGCCGUCACUGGUCACCGAGCGCUCCGACUUGGCUUCCAGCUUGGCCUUGAGCUCGACAACCCGCAGCUCUAGGUCGGUCUUGUCUGACUCCCACUGCCGAGACUGCAGUGCCAGCGCGCCCUGGACUUUUUGGUCCUGCUCUUCCUUGGCGCGCCGGAGCUGCCGGACGCAUUCCUUGAGCGCGCCAUCCAGCGUUGCGUUUUUGACAGUUGCAGCAUUCAGCUGGGCUUUCAGCGAUGCCAUCUCGUUUUCGGCCUUCUCCCAUCCUGGUGCAAGAAAUGCAUGCAGAAUCUGCUUGUGA
rnacentral:rRNA from 1 species